AUUGAACGCUGGCGGCAUGCCUUUCACAUGCAAGUCGAACGGUAACGCGGGGCAACCUGGCGACGAGUGGCGAACGGGUGAGUAAUGCAUCGGAACGUGCCCAGUAGUGGGGGAUAGCCCGGCGAAAGCCGGAUUAAUACCGCAUACGACCUACGGGUGAAAGGGGGGGAUCGCAAGACCUCUCGCUAUUGGAGCGGCCGAUGUCAGAUUAGGUAGUUGGUGGGGUAAAGGCCUACCAAGCCUACGAUCUGUAGCUGGUCUGAGAGGUCGACCAGCCACACUGGGACUGAGACACGGCCCAGACUCCUACGGGAGGCAGCAGUGGGGAAUUUUGGACAAUGGGCGCAAGCCUGAUCCAGCCAUGCCGCGUGCGGGAAGAAGGCCUUCGGGUUGUAAACCGCUUUUGUCAGGGAAGAAACGCUCUGGACUAAUACUCUGGGGUAAUGACGGUACCUGAAGAAUAAGCACCGGCUAACUACGUGCCAGCCGCCGCAGUAAGAC
rnacentral:rRNA from 1 species